rnacentral:rRNA from 1 species
GAUGAACGCUGGCGGCGUGCCUAAUACAUGCAAGUCGAGCGAACAGACGAGGAGCUUGCUCCUCUGACGUUAGCGGCGGACGGGUGAGUAACACGUGGAUAACCUACCUAUAAGACUGGGAUAACUUCUGGAAACCGGAGCUAAUACCGGAUAAUAUAUUGAACCGCAUGGUUCAAUAGUGAAAGACGGUUUUGCUGUCACUUAUAGAUGGAUCCGCGCCGCAUUAGCUAGUUGGUAAGGUAACGGCUUACCAAGGCGACGAUGCGUAGCCGACCUGAGAGGGUGAUCGGCCACACUGGAACUGAGACACGGUCCAGACUCCUACGGGAGGCAGCAGUAGGGAAUCUUCCGCAAUGGGCGAAAGCCUGACGGAGCAACGCCGCGUGAGUGAUGAAGGUCUUCGGAUCGUAAAACUCUGUUAUUAGGGAAGAACAAAUGUGUAAGUAACUAUGCACGUCUUGACGGUACCUAAUCAGAAAGCCACGGCUAACUACGUG